rnacentral:sRNA from 1 species
AAGGGACCUAGCGUAGUUCGGAAUUACUGGGCUUAAAGAGUUCGUAGGUGGUUGAAAAAGUUGGUGGUGAAAUCCCAGAGCUUAACUCUGGAACUGCCAUCAAAACUUUUCAGCUAGAGUAUGAUAGAGGAAAGCAGAAUUCUAGUGUAGAGGUGAAAUUCGUAGAUAUUAGAAAGAAUACCAAUUGCGAAGGCAGCUUUCUGGAUCAUUACUGACACUGAGGAACGAAAGCAUGGGUAGCGAAGAGGAUUAGAUACCCUCGUAGUCCAUGCCGUAAACGAUGUGUGUUAGACGUUGGAAAUUUAUUUUCAGUGUCGCAGGGAAACCGAUAAACACACCGCCUGGGGAGUACGACCGCAAGGUUAAAACUCAAAUGAAUUGACGGGGACCCGCACAAGUAGUGGAGCAUGUGGUUUAAUUCGAAGAUACGCGCAGAACCUUACCAACACUUGACAUGUUCGUCGCGACUCUAAGAGAUUAGAGUUUUCGGUUCGGCCGGACGAAACACAGGUGCUGCAUGGCUGUCGUCAGCUCGUGUCGUGAGAUGUUGGGUUAAGUCCCGCAACGAGCGCAACCCUCACUUUUAGUUGCCAUCAUUAAGUUGGGCACUCUGAAAGAACUGCCAGUGAUAAGCUGGAGGAAGGUGGGGAUGACGUCAAGUCCUCAUGGCCCUUACGUGUUGGGCUACACACGUGCUACAAUGGCAUCUACAACAGGAAGCAAAACGGCAACGUUAAGCAAAUCCCGAAAAGAUGCCUCAGUUCGGAUUGCACUCUGCAACUCGAGUGCAUGAAGCUGGAAUUACUAGUAAUCGUGGAUCAGCGUGCCACGGUGAAUGCGUUCCCGGAUCUUGUACACACCGCCCGUCACACCAUGGGAGUUGGUUCUACCUUAAGGCAAGGUUUUAAACCCUUGACCACGGUAUAGUCAGCGACUGGGGUGAAGUCGUAACAAGGUAGCCGUAGGGGAACCUGCGGCUGGAUUACCUCCUUUCUAAGGAUGAGUGAAAGUAAAAUUUUACUCUAAAUAAUAUACAUCGGUAAUGUUGACCGUCCUCAUUUCUCUUCUUAAAGUAAUGUUUCCUUCUUGUAGGGCCGGUAGCUCAGUUGGUUAGAGCACACCCUUGAUAAGGGUGGGGUCGAAAGUUCGAGUCUUUCUCGGCCCACCAAAAGCCUAAAUGGGGGAUCAGCUCAUCUGGGAGAGCGCCUGAUUUGCAUUCAGGAGGUAGCAGGUUCGAUCCCUGUAUCCUCCACCAGGAAACAUUUAGUUAUUAAAACUGUAAAUUAAAAUAAUUUAUAUCAAUAUCUAUAUCCGAACAUUAAAAGUUAUUAUUUAAUGUUCAAAAUAAAAAUUUGAUCACAACAUAGAUAAAUUUUUCUUUAAAAAAGAAAUUUUUUUCUGUGCAUAAAUCAAGCGUUUAAGGGCGUGUAGUGGAUGCCUUGGCACUGAAAGCCGAUGAAGGACGUGAUAUACUGCGAUAAGUUUCGGGGAGCUGUAUGUAAGCUUUGAUCCGAAAAUUU